AUUGAACGCUGGCGGCAUGCUUUACACAUGCAAGUCGAACGGUAACAGGCCUUCGGGUGCUGACGAGUGGCGAACGGGUGAGUAAUGCAUCGGAACGUGCCCAGAGGUGGGGGAUAACGCAGCGAAAGCUGUGCUAAUACCGCAUGUGAUCUGAGGAUGAAAGCGGGGGACCAGGCAGCAAUGUUUGGCCUCGCGCCUUUGGAGCGGCCGAUGUCAGAUUAGGUAGUUGGUGGGGUAAAGGCCUACCAAGCCGACGAUCUGUAGCUGGUCUGAGGGGACGACCAGCCACACUGGGACUGAGACACGGCCCAGACUCCUACGGGAGGCAGCAGUGGGGAAUUUUGGACAAUGGGCGCAAGCCUGAUCCAGCAAUGCCGCGUGCGGGAAGAAGGCCUUCGGGUUGUAAACCGCUUUUGUACGGAACGAAAAGGCUCUGGCUAAUACCUGGGGCUGAUGACGGUACCGUAAGAAUAAGCACCGGCUAACUACGUG
rnacentral:rRNA from 1 species